GGAAGGGAAAAGCAUCCGGUGGUGCUGCCGGUCUUCAAAACCGGAGGUCCUGGUGAAAAGCCGGGAUGGUGGGUUCGACUCCCGCUCCCUUCCGCCA
rnacentral:tRNA from 1 species